rnacentral:tRNA from 1 species
GGAUUUAGCUCAGUGGUAGAGCGCUUGCCUAGCAAGCACAAGGUCCUGGGUUCAGUCCCCAGCUCCG